UACGUAGGGUGCAAGCGUUAAUCGGAAUUACUGGGCGUAAAGCGUGCGCAGGCGGUUCUAUAAGACAGAUGUGAAAUCCCCGGGCUCAACCUGGGAACUGCAUUUGUGACUGUAGAGCUGGAGUACGGUAGAGGGGGAUGGAAUUCCGCGUGUAGCAGUGAAAUGCGUAGAUAUGCGGAGGAACACCGAUGGCGAAGGCGGCCCGCUGGGCAGUGGCUGACGCUGAGGCGCGACAGCGUGGGGAGCAAACAGG
rnacentral:rRNA from 1 species